GUGCUCACUUGUCCAGCACAUAUACUAAAAUUGGAACGAUACAGAGAAGAUCAGCAUGACUUGCACAAGGAUGACAAGUAAAUUUGUGAAGCAUUCCAUAUUUUA
rnacentral:snRNA from 1 species